UACAGAGGGUGCAAGCGUUGUUCGGAAUUAUUGGGCGUAAAGGGCGCGUAGGCGGUGCGGUAAGUCUGUAGUGAAAUCUCUGGGCUCAACUCAGAGUCUGCUGCAGAAACUGCCGUGCUUGAGUGUGGGAGAGGUGAGUGGAAUUCCCGGUGUAGCGGUGAAAUGCGUAGAUAUCGGGAGGAAUACCGGUGGCGAAGGCGGCAUCCUGGACCGACAUUGACGCUGAGGAGCGAAAGCUAGGGGAGCAAACGGG
rnacentral:rRNA from 1 species